ACACAGUGUUCCAUCCAGAGUAUGUAGCAUCAAGGCGUCAUCUUAAAAGCAGAGAACAGACUCUUACUUGACACUAGAUGCCAGUGCAUUGAUCUUGGACUUCCCAGCCUCCAGAACUAUUUAGUUCAGCCUGGUGUGGUUGCAUUUCAGAAUCUGUGAAAAAUGGAAUCACAAUGCUGUGACAGCAGCAUUUAUGCCUGUGGUAUCUGUGAAGCAGGUAAACAGCCCUGGGACAAAGAACAGACUACAGGUAUUGCCUUCUUAAUCAACAAUAAAGUAUUAGUUGGCUUCCAGGCAGACACCACUGACUUUCAAGAGAAAGGCAAGGGAGUAAGGAAGUAAAGAAUUCAGGUGCUGCUUGAAAAUACAACAAACUAUCUUCAGAAUACUUUUAUGUGUUGUUGAAAGAAAGCACUGCAGCUAAUAUAGCUACAAAGGAGAAACGGUUAUUCUUAAAUGUCAUCUAUUUGCUGGACCUGAACAGGAAUUCACUGUGGAGCUCAUACAACUACCACCUUCAGCUAUUAAUCAAGGAGUCAUUCAACUGAGAAAGGGGAGAUUGAGAUGCUGAAUCAUUUCUCAUUCUGUGAAGUCUACCAGAAUAACCCAUAAAGCAAAUAUCAACCUAUUUCAAUUAGAAAAAUGAAAAAUACUGAUAUAGCAGACAAAUUCUGGAACUAACACUUCCACAAAUCAUUGAUAAUCCAUUUUCCAACUUCUUCGAAUUCCAGACCAUCAACAAACUUUUAAAGGCUUGUUUUGCAUAUUAUUCAGGCCUAAAUCAUGGUUCUCAUAAAUUGAUUAUCAUGUCCCUUUCAUCUGUCCAUUUAUGCUUCUAAAUGGUUCUUAAUGGUUCACUAUAUUUGAAGGCCAUAACCAUUUGCUGAUGAGUUACUAGUUUAAUUUGUCACUAUUUCUCCAAUACAUAUAUGUAAGUGCUUAUCGUCUUUUAAUCCUAGAUAUUCUUCUGGAAGUAAUAAUAAAAGUUGAAAGCUGGAAGGAAAAUAA
rnacentral:lncRNA from 1 species